UACGGAGGGUGCAAGCGUUGUCCGGAAUCACUGGGCGUAAAGGGCGCGUAGGCGGCUCAUGAAGGCUGUGGUGAAAGUCCGGGGCUCAACCCCGGGUCUGCCAUGCCGACUGUCAGGCUGGAGUACUGUAGGGGCAGGCGGAAUUCCGGGUGUAGCGGUGGAAUGCGUAGAGAUCCGGAAGAACACCGGUGGCGAAGGCGGCCUGCUGGGCAGUAGCUGACGCUGAUGCGCGACAGCGUGGGGAGCAAACAGG
rnacentral:rRNA from 1 species